rnacentral:misc_RNA from 1 species
UACAUCUAGAUGGUGUGAUGUAUAUUUGUGCAGAUGUCUAAAUUCGGCUUAGAGCUGGUUGAAGUAUGAUUAAUUGUUAAAAAAAUAUUCUAUUAAUAUUUCACAGAAUUGAAUAAUAAAAAUUCGAACAGAGGAUAUUUCGUGUUCGUAAUAAAAUAUAAUUCAUUGUUCCAAAGGAUUAAGUAGUUUUGUUUAUUCUUGAAAUUUCGUGAAAGAAACAUUUUACUGAAUGUGUGAAAAAGGAUAUUUUCAAAUUAAUUUUAUUGUAAGUUUAUGUACCCAUAACAACCAUUUUCAGUAAGAUAAUAUAAUUAUUUUAUUUAACUGAAAUAAUGGCAACAUCUUUGUCAGCAUAUUGGGUAAAGUUUUUCAAAGGUGCUGGCUUUCCACAAGAUGUUGCGACCAAACAUGCAGUUGUAUUUUCUAACAAUCGUAUUAAACCAGAUAUGUUGCCAGACUUGGACAAGCCUAGUCUUAAAGAAAUGGGCAUUACUUUAAUGGGAGAUAUGAUUGCUAUUUUAAGAUAUGCAAAAAAAGUAGUGGAAGAAACGACGUGUGAAAAAUUUCUUGUCGACACAGAAAAUCCAGAUACUCCAGCCAAACUUGUUAAUAAACCGAUAAUUAAAAAAGCAGUGACAAAAAUAACCGCUAAAUCUCCUGUAGUAACUAAAACGAAACCUUCUACGGUUACUAUUCCAAAAAUAGUUAAAAACACAUCUACUGUGGUUCCGAAGAUAACAACUGUUAAGAAAUCAAGCGUGGUAUUACCAGAAAGUAAAAAAACUAUAAAUUCAUUGAAAAGGACGUUGGAACCUGAGGAAGGAUUUAAUGAAAGUUAUAGCAAUGAUUGGUCAGUUGCUAAGAAACAACCAAAGGUUCAAACUAACAAUGACGAGGAUAAUGAUAAAGUAGGAUAUACGGUGAUUAUACCAAAAAUGGCAGCUUUGAGAAAUCUACCUGCUAAGAAAGUAGUUGAACAAAAGCGGACAGUAUUUGAUAGAUUAGGAGAUAGUUCAGUAACUAGUACAACCAAUUUACCUGAGACUUCUCCUACGUUUAAUGUUACUGGACUGGGUAAAAAUACAUAUAAGAGAACAAUAAGCGUUUUCAAUCGUCUUGGCGAUAAAGAUGCUAAGAAAAGUGACACGCCGCAAUUAGGAAUAUUAAAGAAUGGUACUACCAAGACGACUUCACAGGGUAUUCUAAAAAAUAGUAGUUCAAAUGUAAGAAUAUCUAGUGUAGCUAAGAAGAAGAUUCUUGCUGCGGGUACGAUGCAUGCUGAUCAUGAGGUUAAUAAUAAAACUGCUUCGAAUAGCGUCAAGCGGUUAGUACGUACAACUAAAAAAAUUACUUUCAAUGAAAAUGGAUCAAAUUUAAACAAACCAAGAAAUUUCGAAGUUACAUCUGGCAAAUUAGCUUCUGAACGACUUACUAUAAUACCAGCAAAAGCACGAUUAGGUGUGCUUAAAUCAAGUAGCGCGAAACAAGUUACUUUCAAUAGGGUCGCAACUGUUACGCACGUUAAAAAACCAGAUGUUUUUAGUCGUCUUGGCAUUUAAAGAAAAAUUCAAACACAUUAUUGAGACAUUAUUUCCAAUUACAUAUUCUUUGUACAAAGUGAUAUUAUUUUUUCUCUUGUAAAGAUUACACUGUAAACAUAUAUGUUUUAAUAUAAAAGAAAAUCUAUCAAAUUUCUCAAAUAGAUUAGGUUUUGGUUCAGACCACAAUAAUCCAGUGAAAUAUACAAAAAUGUAAACGACUGGUGAUGGACACAGCUUGAAUGGAAAGUCUUAGGCUGGUCAGUAGGGACUAGUAUGGCAUUUAACAUGUUAACAAAAUAAGAUUUGCAUUAUGUUAUUAACGAAUUAAAAUAAAUAUAAUUCUAAUAUAUUUUGCCUCUCUAAUAUAUAGAUAAGUUUGCUUUCAUUAUUAAUAGAAUAUAA